UGUGUAGGUGGCUGAGCAAGUCGUUGAUGAAAUCCCGAGGCUCACCCUCGGAACUGUCUUCGAAACUGCUCAGCUUGAGGAUAGUUGAGGAGAACGGAAUUCCCGGUGGAGCGGUGAAAUGCGUAGAUAUCGGGAGGAACACCAGAGGCGAAGGCGGUUCUCUGGGCUAUUCCUGACACUGAGACACGAAAGCUAGGGGAGCAAACG
rnacentral:rRNA from 1 species